GAAGCAACUUAAUACUCUGUAACCUUCAUAUUAUUUCUUAAAUAAUAAUUUAUACAUGUAUUUCACUUGUAAUUUUGUUUUUUAUUGGGAUUUUUUUUUGGCAAUCAGUAAACGAAUUCUUCGUCUACAAAUAUUUGUUUUCCCUCAAAUUUUUUUAUUUAUCAAAGGAAUUACAUCCAUUCAAGUAAGAGCAAAUUUCCCUCAAUAUUUAUUCCUAUAUAUUAAUUUAUCGUCAAUUAUGUGCUUUAAUUAUGUUGCUGGAAUUUCUGAAUUUCUCAUUUCCAUAUAUUUUCUAUGAAGAGUAGUUAACUUCAAUGGCUGUUCAAAAUGAUGGGCAUGAAUGGUAAUUCAGCAAUAAUACCAAAUCCUCCUUCUGAAAACGUUGGUAUUUGGAGCGUAUUCUAAAAUGGAGGUUUAGGCAAAAUCCGCUCACACAAAUCUCUGUUUACCAAACACCCCAAUUAGUGGAUUGGCCAGUCAAACCUCUAAAUUUACCAUCAAUCCACUAAAAGCUGGUGUAUCCGCUUGUUACCAAACGCAGCCAAAAUCUAUUUACUACUCCGUGUAGGUUAGAAGAGACACUGGAAUAACACGUGUCAGUUCCUAUAUCGUGUCAAUUCCUCUUGCGUUUUUUCCGUCAAAAACCACUUUCCCAUAAAAUUUAUCUGUUUUAUUUUAUUUUUAUUCUCUACCUUUUUUUUAUAAACUACUCCUUAUUAUUUAUGUAUGAAAACAAAUUUUAUUUUAUAAAUUAUGGCAAUAAUAUAUAUAACAUAAUAAUAAUCAUUCUAAAUUGGUAAUAUUUUAGUCAAAUCUCUAUAUUAAUAAAUGAAAAAUAUAUCCCUCUAUAUUUUUGUCAAAUCUCUAUAUUUUAGUCAUAUUAGCAUUUUAAAUAUGCAUAUUAGAUGAAUAAAUUUAAACGAAUAUGUUAGAAAUGUUAUAACUAUGCAGUAGUUUGGGAGAAGUUCAAUUAAAUAUUUUGUGAAAAAAAAUAUCAAAAUCCGUGCGUGCACGGGAUCUAAUAUAGUAAUAAUAAAAGAAAAAGUUGUUUGGCUUUGGUAAUUGUCAAAUCAUAUAAAUAUAGUCGUAUUGAUCUUAUUAGAUUCGUCUCGAUACAUAUUUUUUAAAUAUCAACUUUUUACAAUUUUUUCUUAUCCAUAAUAGAAAAUAUUAAUGUUUGAAAUCGUGUAUUGACAAACGUGCCUAAAUAAUUAUCACUUUUAAAAAAGAACCGAGAAAGUAUGUUUUAUAUAUUCAUGUGAAGAGCAAGAGCGUUAUGACGGACGUAACGGUAGAGACCGUGACGCACGGCGAUGCGCGCGAGUUUUUCAGUGCUGAUGUUAGCCGCACGGAGGAGGGAGAGAAUUCCUUGAUCAACACUUGGAUACGCCAAGUACACGAAGUUCACGAACGCCAACCCUACCACCGCGUCGCCCACGAACUCCAGUCAUUGGUAAGACUUUGACUCGGUGCAUUACGAGUGAGUCAGGGCUUCUUCUAGAAGCGUCUUGUCCCUGAAUCUGUAGUUUAGUAUUCGUUCCACCGCCGUAACGCAGCCUCCAUAUCGUUUAUUGCCGGAGUGUGGUGGCGGGUAAUGGUGGUGUUCAUGUGAAAAUGCCUCUCACAAAUUUCCUAAUCAGGAAAAAAAAAAUAAAGAAUAUUUAGAGUUGUUAGAUCACGAUCAAAAGAUAAUAACAUACUACCAAUAGCUAUUUGAUUGAUCAAAAGAUAAGAACUUUUUUUGUUAGGAAAAAUACCAAUAGCUAUUUGAUUGAUCCAAUGGACCAGUUUUAUGAAUUACUCACCCCCUGGUACAUUUUGUCUAAUUCAACUCGAAAUUCUUAGCCACCCUCAUUCCACCGUGUGAUACUACUGAGGAUCACAUUUUUUCGGUGUUUGGAGGGAAAAAGCUCAGCAUAAAACCGAGUAUAAGGGCAAUAGUAAUAAGAGGUUUGUCAUGAAGUUUGUGUUGAAUUUUAGAGGUUUAUAGACCAAAAAAAGAAUGUAUAGAUCCUAAAGGUUGAAAAAUGUGAAGGGUCCUAAAGGUUGAAAAAUGUGAAAGCUGCAGUUUAUAAAUUUGGCAAGAGAGAAACAAUGCUUUGUGGAAUGCAAGAGUCUCCUCUGUGCAGAAAAGUUGUAAUGAUAUUAAGCAUGAUGUAAUAGGUAGAAUUAAGAGUAUUGUAGGGGAAAAAGUUAGUCAAAACGAUAGUUGGUUGGCUUUGUGCUUUUUAACAGGUGUAUUCUGGUGUGGUUCUUGUUGUUGUAAGGUUGUUGCUUUAGUCUGUUUUGGUCUUUUGAGUUAGAGGGGAGCCUUCGUAGAAGGGUUGCCUCUUCUCUUGUAGUCCUUAGGUUGUAUGAAGUGUUCAUGUCUUUUUCAAAAUAUCAUUACUUUCUUACCAAAAGAAAAAAACAAAAAUGUAUAUGUAUGGAAAAUUAGCUCAUUUGUAAAGUUAUCUCAAACAUGUGAAUUUGAAAUGUCUACUGUCAUUUUUAAAGCAUAAGAAAAA